AGCAGUAGCCGCGGUAGUACGUAGGUGGCAAGCGUUGUCCGGAUUUAUCGGGCGUAAAGCGAGCGCAGGCGGUUCCUUAAGUCUGAUGUGAAAGCCCCCGGCUCAACCGGGGAGGGUCAUUGGAAACUGGGGAACUUGAGUGCAGAAGAGGGGAGUGGAAUUCCAUGUGUAGCGGUGAAAUGCGUAGAUAUAUGGAGGAACACCGGUGGCGAAAGCGGCUCUCUGGCUUGUAACUGACGCUGAGGCUCGAAAGCGUGGGGCGCAAACAGGAUUAGAGACCCCCGUAGUCCCUGUCUCUUAUAC
rnacentral:rRNA from 1 species